UACGGAGGAGGCAAGCGGUAUCCGGAAUUAUUGGGCGUAAAGCGUCCGUAGGUGGUUGGCCAAGUCUGCUGUCAAAGGGUGGUGCUUAACCUCAUAAAGGCAGUGGAAACUGGCGAGCUAGAGUGCUGUAGGGGUAGGGGGAAUUCCCAGUGUAGCGGUGAAAUGCGUAGAGAUUGGGAAGAACAUCGGUGGUGAAAGCGCCCUGCUGGGCCUGCACUGACACUGAUGGACGACAUCUAUGGGAGCGAAUGGG
rnacentral:rRNA from 1 species